ACUCCUACGGGAGGCAGCAGUGGGGAAUCUUGCGCAAUGGGCGAAAGCCUGACGCAGCAACGCCGCGUGGGGGAUGAAGGCCCUCGGGUUGUAAACCCCUUUCAGCAGGGACGAAACUGACGGUACCUGCAGAAGAAGCCCCGGCCAACUACGUGCCAGCAGCCGCGGUAAU
rnacentral:rRNA from 1 species